UCCCUGGUGGCUCAGAGGUUAAAGCGUCUGCCUGCAAUGCCGGAGACCCGGGUUUGAUCCCUGGGUCGGGAA
rnacentral:tRNA from 1 species